rnacentral:ncRNA from 1 species
CCGGUCCUCGGUAGUGGCUUCCGGGAAGCACGAGCUAUCGAUGCCGUAGGGCAUCGAGGCUGUGCUGACCCGUGGGCCUCGAUCGAAGACCG